UGGUAUAUGUUGUGACUAGCCGUUGUCACCUUCAAGCUGUAUAUUAGGCUGCCUGCAGUGGAAGUUUAUCCAAUUUAAUAUUACCAGAACUGGACCCUUAAGAAGGACAAUGAAAAACCUAAAUGGAGGCACAGAAACCCUGCUGCAAAACCCACUGUGGGCAAUCUCCACGCAGAUCUCAUUUCCCUGUUCUUUGCGUCCCCCAGCUACAGCACAGCACUUCAGCAUGUAAUGAAUGGUGUUAUGAACAAUCUGCUUUAUGUAACCGAGACUGAGCAGUUAAUGCAUCCCAGCACAGAUCCAGAAGUACAAGGCAGAGCCUUGCUGUGGGCUUGUGGUGACACCUGUCUCAGUCACGUGGUCAUUUGGGCUGUUGCAUCAUUCCCUUGCAUGGCAUGAGUUGGAGAAGCUGAUGUAUCUUAACCAUCCCAGCUUGAGAGGAUCCUUUUUUUAACCAGGAUUUCAAUUGUAGUUUUUGCUUGGAAGAGCAUGCAGUACAAAACACUGGAUCCUGAUCAUCGGGAAGCAAUACAUAGACUUUUUCUCCCAAUAGACUGAGUUCUCUUACAGAAAAUCAUGUCAACGUCUAAUUGACAUCGAUAGCACAAGAAGUGUGAUUGACUGACAGGCUUUAAUGGAAGAGAGCUGGAUAAGACCACAUAAGCUCUCAAU